rnacentral:ribozyme from 14 species
UGAUCGUGUGCCAUUUUCUCAUUAAUUUUCUUUUUCGUUCCUUUCCUCUUUCGUUCCUUUCCUGUUUUUGAUUUACCAAUAUUUACUAUAACCAUGAUGAUUGCAAGAAAGAUUCAGAAAAGAAAGGAAAGAGAA